UGAAGCGGCGGAAACGUCGUGGCCGAAAGGAGCCUAAACAGGUGGUGCAUGGCUGUCGUCAGCUCGUGUCGUGAGAUGUUGGGUUAAGUCCCGCAACGAGCGCAACCCUCGUCGCAUGUUGCCAGCGGUUCGGCCGGGCACCCAUGUGAGACCGCCGGCGUCAAGCCGGAGGAAGGUGGGGACGACGUCAAGUCAUCAUGCCCCUUAUGUCCUGGGCUGCACACGUGCUACAAUGGCCGGCACAAUGGGCUGCAAACCCGCGAGGGUAAGCGAAUCCCCAAAGCCGGUCCCAGUUCGGGUUGGAGGCUGCAACCCGCCUCCAUGAAGUCGGAGUUGCUAGUAAUCGUGGAUCAGCACGCCGCGGUGAAUGCGUUCCCGGGCCUUGUACACACCG
rnacentral:rRNA from 1 species